GGGAAAAGGACAGAAUGAGAGAUAACUGGUCCUAGAACUGUGACUAGGCAGAUGUUGUCAGAGCUGAAUGCCUUCAUACUAAGAGGUGUCUGCUGCCAUCUAGUGGACUGUGUUCAGAUAACAGCUGUAAAAACCAACAGCAUACUAGUCUGUAUCACACCUUUUACAAUACACGUUCACACACUCAUACACACCACACACACACACUCUCUCUCUCUCUCAAUCUUUGUUUCAGAGAUUUUAUUUUUCAUUCCAAAUGAUUUCCUAAGAAUUGAAAUUUUACAUCAGGGACUGCAUCAUCAGGGACUGCAUCAUCGGGGACUGCAUCAUCGGGUGCUGCAUCAUCGGGGACUGCAUCAUCGGGGACUGCAUCAUCGGGGACUGCAUCAUCAGGGACUGCAUCAUGAAGCUCCAAGUGACAAUGCAUCAAUUAUCUUCAUUACAAAGUUUAUCAGAGAGAGAGGGAGAGCGAGAGAGAAAGAGAGAGAGAGAGAGGGAGACAGACAGAAAGAGAGAGACAGAAAGAGAGACAGAAAGAGAGACAGAGAGAGAGACAGAGAGAGAGAGAGGGAGACAGAGAGAGAGAGGGAAAAUGAGAGAGAGAGAAAGAGAGAUAGACCGGGCAGAGAGAGAGAGAGGGAGAGAUAUAGAGAUAGAGUGGGGUUAAUAAGUAUAACAAACAUGUUAAUUUUAGUUAACCAGAAUGUGAUGAUAGGUUACAUUCACUAACCUGGCUGUGCCUGAUGCUAUGUUGGGGUGACACCAAGUGGGACAUGACACUAACACAGAUACACUGAGUGUACAAAACAUUAAGGACACCUGCUCUUUCCAUGACAUAGACUGAUCAGGUGAAUCCAGGUGAAAGCUAUGAUCCCUUAUUGAUGUCACCUGUUAAAUCCACUUCAAUCAGUGUAGAUGAAGGGGAGGACACAGGAUAAAAAAUGAUUUUAAAGCCUUGUGACAAUUGAGACAUGGAUUGUGUGUGUGGCAUUCAGAGGGUGAAUGGGCAAGACAAAAUAUUUAAGUGCUUUUGAACGGGGUAUGGUAGUAGGUGCCAGGCGUACCGGUUUGUGUCAAGAACUGCAACGCUACUGGGAUUUUCAUGCUAAACAGUUUCCCGUAUGUAUCAAGAAUGUUCUACCACCCAAAGGAUAUCCAGCCAACUUGACACAACUGUGGGAAGCAUUGAAGUCAAUAUGGGCCAGCAUCCCUACGGAACUUGACACAACUGUGGGAAGCAUUGAAGUCAAUAUGGGCCAGCAUCCCUACGGAACUUGACACAACUGUGGGAAGCAUUGAAGUCAAUAUGGGCCAGCAUCCCUACGGAACUUGACACAACUGUGGGAAGCAUUGAAGUCAAUAUGGGCCAGCAUCCCUACGGAAUGAUUUUUUUUUUAGAGUCAAAGCCCAGACAAAUUGAGGCUGUUCUUAGGGCAAAAGGGGAUGGUGCAAAUCAAUAUUAGGAAGAUGUUCCUAAUGCUUUGUACACUCAGCGUAUGUCAGCUGUAUUCACAAAAACAUCCAAGCCCUCAAGUGCUUUCAAAUGGCGCAUAUAUUCAUAGCUGUUGAAAAUGUCCAGUUACAAACAAGUCAUAGAUGGAGAGAGGAUGUGUCCCAAAUAGCAUCCUAUUCCCUAUAUAGUGCACUACUUUUGACCAGAGCCCAGUGGGCCCUGUUGUACAGUACAUAGAUAAUAGGAUGCCAUUGUAAUGGGGACAAGUGCAUAUUGUUCGAAUUAAUUUGUGUUUUCAGUAAACAUUUGGCAACAAAAUGUAAUUUACUUAUUAGUCAAUAAUCCUUUGAUUGAAAUCCAAAGUUGCACACCCAUCGGUUUUGUUGGUCACAACCCACCUGUCUGUACUUAUGUAUAUUCGUCUGUGAUGCUUGUUGAGUAGGCUAACAGAGGCCUAACAGGAUAUUGUCCUAGGGACAUACAGUAAGCUAACAGAGGCCUAACAGAAUAUUGUGCUAGGGAGAUACAGUAAGCUAAUAGAGGCCUAACAUAAUAUUGUGCUAGGGACAUACAGUAAGCUAACAGAGGCCUAACAGAAUAUUGUGCUAGGGAGAUACAGUAAGCUAACAGAGGCCUAACAGAAUAUUGUGCUAGGGACAUACAGUAAGCUAACAGAGGCCUAACAGGAUAUUGUCCUAGGGACAUACAGUAAGCUAACAGAGGCCUAACAGAAUAUUGUCCUAGGGACAUACAGUAAGCUAAUAGAGGCCUAACAUAAUAUUGUGCUAGGGACAUACAGUAAGCUAACAGAGGCCUAACAGAAUAUUGUGCUAGGGACAUACAGUAAGCUAACAGAGGCCUAACAGAAUAUUGUGCUAGGGACAUACAGUAAGCUAAUAGAGGCCUAACAUAAUAUUGUGCUAGGGACAUACAGUAAGCUAACAGAGGCCUAACAUAAUAUUGUGUUAGGGACAUACAGUAAGCUAAUAGAGGCCUAACAUAAUAUUGUGCUGGGGACAUACAGUAAGCUAACAGAGGCCUAACAUAAUAUUGUGUUAGGGACAUACAGUAAGCUAAUAGAGGCCUAACAUAAUAUUGUGCUAGGGACAUACAGUAAGCUAAUAGAGGCCUAACAUAAUAUUGUGUUAGGGACAUACAGUAAGCUAAUAGAGGCCUAACAUAAUAUUGUGCUAGGGACAUACAGUAAGCUAAUAGAGGCCUAACAUAAUAUUGUGCUAGGGACAUACAGUAAGCUAACAGAGGCCUAACAUAAUAUUGUGUUAGGGACAUACAGUAAGCUAAUAGAGGCCUAACAUAAUAUUGUGCUAGGGACAUACAGUAAGCUAAUAGAGGCCUAACAUAAUAUUGUGUUAGGGACAUACAGUAAGCUAACAGAGGCCUAACAUAAUAUUGUGUUAGGGACAUACAGUAAGCUAAUAGAGGCCUAACAUAAUAUUGUGCUAGGGACAUACAGUAAGCUAAUAGAGGCCUAACAUAAUAUUGUGUUAGGGACAUACAGUAAGCUAAUAGAGGCCUAACAUAAUAUUGUGCUAGGGACAUACAGUAAGCUAAUAGAGGCCUAACAUAAUAUUGUGCUAGGGACAUACAGUAAGCUAACAGAGGCCUAACAUAAUAUUGUGUUAGGGACAUACAGUAAGCUAAUAGAGGCCUAACAUAAUAUUGUGUUAGGGACAUACAGUAAGCUAAUAGAGGCCUAACAUAAUAUUGUGCUAGGGACAUACAGUAAGCUAACAGAGGCCUAACAGGAUAUUGUGCUAGGGACAUA
rnacentral:lncRNA from 1 species